AGGACGAACGCUGGCGGCGCGCCUAAAACAUGCAAGUCGAACGAGAAACCCGGGCUUGCCCGGGUGGACAGUGGCGAACGGGUGAGUAACACGUGAGGAACCUGCCCCGAAGACCGGGACAACACCGGGAAACCGGUGCUAAUACCGGAUACCUUCACCGGAUCGCAUGGUCUGGUGAAGAAAUGGAUUCCGCUUCGGGAUGGCCUCGCGGCCUAUCAGCUAGUUGGUGAGGUAACGGCUCACCAAGGCGACGACGGGUAGCUGGUCUGAGAGGAUGUCCAGCCACACUGGGACUGAGACACGGCCCAGACUCCUACGGGAGGCAGCAGUUAGGAAUCUUGCGCAAUGGACGAAAGUCUGACGCAGCGACGCCGCGUGCGGGAUGAAGGCCUUCGGGUUGUAAACCGCUUUCAGCAGGGACGAAAUUGACGGCACCUGCAGAAGAAGCCCCGGCCAACUACGUGCCAGCAGCCGC
rnacentral:rRNA from 1 species